GUCGUCUUUUUUGGCUUCUGUGUGUGUCGCUUCCACUAUAUUAGUUGAUUCUUUGUGAAGCAUAAAAUUCUUGCUAUUCAAUGUCGAGGCGGGGACACCGUGUUUGUAUAAGUUCCACAUAUAAGGCAUAUGAGUCUUGAAUCCUAAGACACCAACAAAGAUGACAAAUGGACCGAUAUGAAAACAAACUCUUCUCCCAUUGCCCAUCUCAUCACACGACCCUCAUGCCUCUUUGUUACAGUUACCAAAUUUAUUAUUUAUGUCGAAUUGGUUGAUUUAGUUAGAGUUGUGUGAAAUUUUAUAUAUCUACGG